rnacentral:lncRNA from 10 species
GUCAGAUUUUCAAGAGAGUGCAUAAUUUCCUCAAAAAGUUAAUAAUAACUCCAUGAGGUUACUGUUUAAUACUUUUUGAGGUGCCUGAAUUUAACACUUAAAGAUUAAGAGGUUAUUUUCGGCCGGUCGCGGUGGCUCACACCUAUAAUCCCAGCACUUUGGCAGGCCAAGGCAGGUGGAUCACCUGAGGUCAGGGGUUCGAGACCACCGUGGCCAACAUGGUGAAACCUCAUCUCUACUAAAAAUACCAAAAAUUAGCCGGGCUUAGUGGCAGACACCUAUAAUCCCAGCUACUCAGGAGGCUGAGACAGGAGAAUCGCUUGAACCCGGGAGGCAGAGGUUGCAGUGAACCGAGAUCGCGCCACUGCACUCCAGCCUGGUCAACAAGAGUGAAACUCCUUCUCAAAAACAAAAAACAAACAAACAAAAAAACCCAAAGAGGUUAUUUUCAAACUUGCAUAGUCACACGUCAAGGCAGGAACCCAAGCCCUGCCAUCAAAUCAAAGUUUUGAGAUUUAAGUUCUUCCUCUGUAAUACAGGAUCGUAUGGUCCCAGAGUUAAAAUAGAACUUAAAAUACCUAGCUGAAGUGCUUAUAGUUAUCAGAAAAUGUUUGUUUCUUCCCUGCAAUUUUCACUAAAGUGAAGAAGACGUGUGAGAGACAAUUUGUGAGACCUAAUUCUGGUUGAGGCUAAGAAUUCCAUUCGUUUUCCAGUCACUGACAAAUUUAUUUAACUCUUUUGCUUUUGGACAUGUUUCUUUGUCACACAAGGUUGUUCUGUGAUUAUAUGUUUCUAUAAUCUUUUCAGUUUAAAAUUUGACUUAAUAAUUAGCAUAUAGCAAGUCAAGAAUUUUUUUUUUUUGCAAGUCAACAAUUUUCAAA